rnacentral:rRNA from 1 species
CCUACGGGAGGCAGCAGUGAGGAAUAUUGGACAAUGGGCGCAAGCCUGAUCCAGCCAUGCCGCGUGCAGGAUGACGGUCCUAUGGAUUGUAAACUGCUUUUGCACAGGAAGAAACAACAUUACGUGUAAUGUCUUGACGGUACUGUGAGAAUAAGGAUCGGCUAACUCCGUGCCAGCAGCCGCGGUAAUACGGAGGAUCCAAGCGUUAUCCGGAAUCAUUGGGUUUAAAGGGUCCGUAGGCGGUUUAGUAAGUCAGUGGUGAAAGCCCAUCGCUCAACGGUGGAACGGCCAUUGAUACUGCUAAACUUGAAUUAUUAGGAAGUAACUAGAAUAUGUAGUGUAGCGGUGAAAUGCUUAGAGAUUACAUGGAAUACCAAUUGCGAAGGCAGGUUACUACUAAUGGAUUGACGCUGAUGGACGAAAGCGUGGGUAGCGAACAGGAUUAGAUACCCUGGUAGUCCACGCCGUAAACGAUGGAUACUAGCUGUUGGAAGCAAUUUCAGUGGCUAAGCGAAAGUGAUAAGUAUCCCACCUGGGGAGUACGUUCGCAAGAAUGAAACUCGAAAGGAAUUGACGG